rnacentral:siRNA from 1 species
UGAUACGCUAAAUCUGCUCCGCCU